UGAAAUGCUGUGUCAUGAAGCUGUGACUGAAAGAUGAGUCGAGGUGAAAUAGCAUCAGAACAAACAUUCUGCUCGGAGUCUGCUGACUGCACAUUGCUCCAUGACGAACACCAACACUCAAUCAAGGCCUUGUGGGCUGUGCGUCACCUCCCUCUCUUCUUCCUUCCUGUCAGAAAACAAUGAACUCACCAUUUCACUGAUUUGAAAAGCAUUUCGACAUCAGUAGUGGAACCUAGGGUAUUGCCAGAGACUACGGAGUGCCUUUCACACCUUGGAGCCAAACCAUAUUGUGCUUGCUAUUGGCCCUCAGGCCCAGAAAGAUAAAGAUGUCUUUCUAAGUUUGGCAUGGAACUUCCAUCCACCUACCUCUCAUCUGGGGCAGUGUCCUCCAUUUUGACUGGUAUUUCUGGAUCCAUGUGGUCAUCGCCUCUGUGGAUCUGGGCAUUGCUCCCACCUGUGAUUUCACCCAUCCCUUCAGGUCCAGUUCUGUUUACGGAGCUUCUCUCCCUCCGUCGGGGCUUACCCAAGAACAACUCAACUGCCUUUUUUGGGAAACAGUCACCAGCUCCACGGAUCCCAGAGUGUCCAGUUGUCAUCUCUGGCAGGAAUCCUAACUGUAAAUGUUAGCUUUGGCGGUGUGCCAGUUCAAGACUUCAAAAUUGCUCUGCCCCCGGCCCCAGUUCAGGAGCCACACUGUGCCGAGGGUCAGCUUCCUAAGCUUGCUUCCUUUUCUGAUCCUGCCUGUCGCGGGCCAAAGGCACGUGGCAGAUUCGGCAUUAUUGCUCUGCAGUGCGGUCCUUAGCACGCCCUCCUUCCAACACAGCAUCCGGGGAGAGGAAGGUGGAAGGAUAAAGUGGGACUCCGAGAAAGCAGUGAGCCCUUCUGGCCUCUGAGUAUUCCACUGUGAAGGCGAUAAUAGGUUUUAACUUCACCCGAUUGUCAGGAGGAUUAAAUGGGUAAGUGUAUGGCACAGAAUCAUGCAGUACACAUUAUUGGGGUCUCCUAGCCUUCCCAGUUGCCCACUCCAAUUACUAAGUUUUCACACUUGUGUACCUGAACAGUUUACAAACUUAGCUCCUAAAAUCUCCUCUGCGGUAUUCGUCGCUGAGCUCCCCCAGAUGGUCCACGGACAGUGGACAAUUUCUAUUAUUAGCGCAGUGUCCAUGAAAGCGGUUCUCACAGGUGAGCUCGGGCAUCUCUGACAGUCUAUGUCCAAGAGCUGAUGACUCCAGGAAAGUCUGAAAUCAGAGUAAGCUUUGGCUGAGCGCGGGUUACGCACCCGACAUUAGGCCAGGUCAUGUAAGACAAACGUGUCCCAAUGUCCUGCGGCAGGUAGUGUUGAGAAUCAGAACUAUGUUUCUGUACUUCCUUUAAAUACCUAGUAAAAAUGG